CUCUAGUUACAUGCAUUAACUGUUUGUUCUAUUAACAAGGAAUAGAGGUUAGGGUGCUUUGCAAAAAAACUAAGGAGGUUUUAAUGGAAGAAAGCAAUGUUCAGGCCAACUGUUCAAUCUGUUCA